rnacentral:rRNA from 1 species
UACGGAGGGUGCAAGCGUUAUCCGGAUUCACUGGGUUUAAAGGGUGCGUAGGCGGUCAGCACAAGUCAGUUGUGAAAUCUCCGGGCUUAACUCGGAAAGGUCAACUGAUACUGUGCGACUAGAGUGCAGAAGGGGCAACUGGAAUUCUCGGUGUAGCGGUGAAAUGCGUAGAUAUCGAGAGGAACACCUGCGGCGAAGGCGGGUUGCUGGGCUGACACUGACACUGAGAGACGAAAGCUAGGGGAGCGAAUGGG